GCCGGCAGGUGUCACGGCUAUGGGGCCGGUGUUCCGCGUUCCUCCCCCGGCUCCAUGCGGAGCUGGCGGAUCGUAGCGGUGCCGCGCUCGCCAGCGGUUAAUAUCGGAGGAAUUUGUUCUGGAAGCGGUGCCCGCUCGGAGUUUCCAGCAAAUCCUGGAGCCCUCCCAGGCAUUUAAUCUCGGCGAAGGAAAUGAGAUAUCCAAAUCGGUUUCCCCACCUUCCUCUUGCCAUGAGAGCUCCUCAGCCGAGGUCUGGGUUUUGCGGCAGAAAGCAUCAGGAGCUGCUUCCACCAAUCCAUCAGACACAAGCGGGGGAACCCGCUGCCGAGUUCAUCCUCUCUGCACCUGCUCGUUCAAAACUUGACCUGCCGAAGGAAGAGAUGCCAGGCUGCCGUGUGGGAUGUGCUCCUUUUCUAGGAACAUGGUAAAUAAAUGAGUUUAUUUUACUUUCCGCUGCGCCAGAGUGCUCACAACAAGGGAGGAAUUGCCACCACGAGCAGUAGUAGGCAUCUUUCUCUCUUUGUCUUUGUUGCACCCAAAGGCACGGACACACACAUAAAGGGAGGGACAAAUACAUGUCUUGUUCUCCCCUAAAGCAAUGUCCAUCCAGGAAAGAGGUUGAUACAAGCCAGGGCUACUUUUCUGAGCUGAAACCACGAGGAUUACUCACAUCUUUAAAAAUAAGCCCACGUUGCAAAUCCCCCUUUGGAUUAAGACCUAAACCCUGCAAUUGUCACUUUUCCCACAGGAGGAAAGUGCCAGUGGCUUAACUAAAUACACUGUCCCCAGUGCCCCAGGAAGCUUCCAGCUUGUUUCUCUUUCCCCUUUUACUGGAACUCCUCCAUGUUUCUGCAGGUUGGUUUUACUUUAUGGCUGGUUUGCUUUUUAUCACCGCUUCAUCAUCCAUCCCUUCUCCUGAGCUCAGUGUGGUCUUCAGUCUUCUCCUUGCCAUUUCUUCCCCAUCCUUCUCUGUCCAUUCGCCACAAGCAGACUGCCUCCCGUCCCCUCAAACUUGGGAGAAACGACCUAACACGACAAAAUAAUAUGUGUUUCUGUUAUCAGUGGAAAAAAUAAAGCCAGAUUCAUCCUGGAUUUGUGUUCUGCAUCCAACAAUGUGCAAGAGCUGAUAGAAGUUUUUUUCAUCACAUGUACUUGUAGGGAUUCUCUGCUGUCUCGUGGAGCUUGUGCUGAUGUGCAAUAUGUCCAGGUGGUGUUCCUUGUCUUUGAGAUGAGUUCAAACUUAAGAGAGGACUUACGGUUUUGUCACUUAUGAAUAAAAAACUAAGACUGAGACCCAGGAAAAAGCAACUAUUUCAUGUGAGUCCAUUAUUGUACUUUAAAAUACAAUAAAUAAUGAAACAAUAAAACAUUCACAGCUUUUUAAGCAUUUUGGCUCCUAAUUGUUCACCUGGUUUUGCAUCUCUCUCCUUUUACAACUUUCCUUGCUGGAAAAGAAAUGAAGAUGUUAAACCAAGAGACAAAAAAAAAAAAAAAAAAAAAAAAAAAAGAAUUAAAAACAGUCCCUUUUUAGAAAAGCUGAAUAGAAAAUCAAAAUAUGUCCAUUCAACCAAAACCGUGGUAUGGCCAAGAACCUUUGCCUCCACUGGCUGAUUUAGAUGCCAUUUCUGGGCAGAAGAUGAAUGGGGCUAUAUGGGAAUUAGAUCCAUUCCUGUUGGGUCACGGUGUUAAUCCCAAAGAUCUCCCCUCUGUCAUUUAUUUGGCCCAGAUAGAGAGGUGACAGCUGUGCCUGGACGAUUCCCCAAGAAAUUGGGGAAUUUCUGUGUGGGGAAUUGGGUGGGGAAUUGGGUGAAUCUGUGCUAUUAGCUCCAACUACUAGCUUUAUACAAAGCAGGUCUUUGUCUUAAGAACCCUUGUGGUUUUUAUAGAUCAGUUGGUAUUUUGGAAGCUUUAGACAGCACUGUUGCUUACACGCUUUGAUAAUUGAGUAUAUGUGAUGUUCCUGCUGACAAACUAAGGUUGGUCCCUGUGCCUUCUUUCUGAAGGUCUCUUCCUUCAGCCCACUGGCAAGGCCUCCACUUUUCUGUUAUCCCAGUCCAAGCAAACACAACAGCCACAAACGUCAUUUUACGCAAUUGAAUCACUUCUCCACACUGUGAUACAAGCUCCAGUAGAUCCCGAUUUUAAUCUAAUCUAAUAGGUCCCAAGUUUAAGGUAUGUGAGAUAUUUAUCUGUAUACAAUGAGGAUAUUAAGUGCUCUUAGAUUGGAAUGGCCUUUACACAACACAGAGGGACAUAAGAGAACCUCUGCUGUUGCUGGGUUGUUGGCCUGUUGUGUGGUCGGCUUAUCCCGGGUUUAUCUAAAAGGAACUCCUCUCUGUUUCCACAGAGUUGGCCAUGAAUUGGAUAGCUCCUUUUGGUGCCAAGGAAGCCAGACUUGAUCCUUCCCAAAAGAGAAGGUGUUCGUGGUUGGACACCAACCCAAGGAAAAUUACACAACUCCUCUUCUCACUGAUCCAAUGGUGUUUUGAUCAUCCCUGAUGCUGCCAGCCCAAAGGGCUGCAAAUUAACCAGUUUCAUUCCCAGGCUGUAGAAAUCAGGACAUGAUGCUCUCAUUUAUAACCCCGCGUAAGAUCCUACUGUCUGCAUUUACAACAUGCCAGGAGUAAACCAUUUUGACUCUCAGAGCUGCUUUUUGUCCACUGCCUCCCACCCACUGCACAGAUCAGUGCCUCACAGAAGUCUUAAUUUGAGCUGUUUCCUUAUGUGUCCCUUAGCACAACGCAUGCAAGAUUAAGCUUUUCAAGAAUUUUCAGGUCCAAAAGAAAUGUAUUUCACAAUGAGGAGAAUGAGUGCCAUUAGCAAUAUCAAAGCGUUAUGAUACCCUCUUUGUAGUCACAUUCCAGAGGACUCUUUUAUUCAAAUUCUCUCUUUUCAGGAGCUUCUGCUUCCAAAAUUUCUCCCUGUUGUUAAGUAGCCCAAAGGGGGACUUUGGACUUAGUGCGUAUGUGCGUGUGUGUGUGUGUGUGCACGGUGAGUUUGGCAUAAUUUGUUCAGGAUAUUGCAGUAAUGGGGUUAUUCUAAGCAUGAAACAAGUCAAUUUUCAUGCCUUAUGGAAGCCAUUCUCCCGUUCACCUAAUUUUGGAUUGUUUCCCUUUUGGUGAGCUCCUCCUUGCCAGGGUUCUUUGGGAAUGAUGGCAUUCAGCUCAGUGCUCUGAGUUAGUAGGACCUCACCAACCACAAUUCUGGGGAGGAAAACAGAUGUGUGCCCAACAUACCUUCAUAUCGCAGCUAAGCAGGUGGCUGAGGUCUUCAAGACAGCCAAAAUAUCUGUUGGAAACAUGAAUUAUCUGAUAAAACUGCUACUUGGUGGGAAACUUGUGUUUCCCUGACACACGAAUGCAAGAAAGGAGCACGUCCCGCUGCUGAAGCGUACAGCAUAAAAUAGCAGAAAUGUCCACCGAAAUUUUAACGAUGACCAGAAGAAAGGUUUUUGUCUCUCUGCCCUUUUUCUUGAACCGAACAGUGCCUAACUGUUUGGCUUGUGGUUAAGGAUUAUUUAUGUAGGGUUCUUGUGUAGGUAAAGCGCCAUGUCCUUGGCCCUCUGCCCGUGUAACGCAGCGCAGGAUCUCUAGUUACAAAUUGCAGCUGCAUAGC
rnacentral:lncRNA from 1 species